AUCUCCCCCAAGAGUCCACAUCGACGGGGAGGUUUGGCACCUCGAUGUCGGCUCAUCACAUCCUGGGGCUGUAGUAGGUCCCAAGGGUUGGGCUGUUCGCCCAUUAAAGUGGUACGCGAGCUGGGUUCAGAACGUCGUGAGACAGUUCGGUCCCUAUCCGUCGCAGGCGUAGGAAAUUUGAGAAGACCUGUCCUUAGUACGAGAGGACCGGGAUGGACGUACCUCUGGUGUACCAGUUGUCCUGCCAAGGGCAUGGCUGGGUAGCUAUGUACGGAAUGGAUAAGCGCUGAAAGCAUCUAAGCGCGAAGCCAACUUCAAGAUAAGAUUUCCCACCGCAAGGGUAAGACCCCAGAAAGACUAUCUGGUUGAUAGGUCGAAGGUGUAAGU
rnacentral:rRNA from 1 species